GAUGAACGCUGGCGGCGUGCCUAAUACAUGCAAGUCGAGCGAACAGACGAGGAGCUUGCUCCUCUGACGUUAGCGGCGGACGGGUGAGUAACACGUGGAUAACCUACCUAUAAGACUGGGAUAACUUCGGGAAACCGGAGCUAAUACCGGAUAAUAUAUUGAACCGCAUGGUUCAAUAGUGAAAGACGGUUUUGCUGUCACUUAUAGAUGGAUCCGCGCCGCAUUAGCUAGUUGGUAAGGUAACGGCUUACCAAGGCAACGAUGCGUAGCCGACCUGAGAGGGUGAUCGGCCACACUGGAACUGAGACACGGCCCAGACUCCUACGGGAGGCAGCAGUAGGGAAUCUUCCGCAAUGGGCGAAAGCCUGACGGAGCAACGCCACGUGAGUGAUGAAGGUCUUCGGAUCGUAAAACUCUGUUAUUAGGGAAGAACAAAUGUGUAAGUAACUAUGCACGUCUUGACGGUACCUAAUCAGAAAGCCACGGCUAACUACGUG
rnacentral:rRNA from 1 species